rnacentral:rRNA from 1 species
AAUAUUGCACAAUGGGGGAAACCCUGAUGCAGCGACGCCGCGCGAGUGAAGAAGUAUUUCGGUAUGUAAAGCACUGUCAGCAGGGAAGAAAAUGACGGUACCUGACGAAGAAGCCACGGCGAACUACGCGCCAGCAGCCGCGGUAAUACGAAGGGGGCAAGCGUUAUUCGGAUUUACUGGGUGUAAAGGGAGCGUAGGUGGCAAAUCAAGUCAGAUGGGAAAGCCCGGGGCUAAACUCCGGGAUUGCAUUUGAAACUGGUAUGCUAGAGUGCAGGGGGGGUAAGUGGAAUUCCUAGUGUGGCGGGGAAAUGCGUAGAUAUUAGGAGAAACACCAGUGGCGAAGGCGGCUUACUGGACUGUAACUGACACUGAGGCUCGAAAGCGUGGGGAGCAAA